GACGAACGCUGGCGGCGUGGAUUAGGCAUGCAAGUCGAACGGUAUCAUCCUUUCGGGGGUGAGAGAGUGGCGAACUGGUGAGUAACACGUAGGUUAUCUACCCUCAAGACGGGGACAACCCAGGGAAACUUGGGCUAAUACCGGAUGUGAGCAACUUUUAGUUGUUUGAAAGGUGGCGUAAGCUGUCGCUUGGGGAUGAGCCUGCGUCCUAUUAGUUAGUUGGUGAGGUAACGGCUCACCUAGGCAAUGAUAGGUAGGCGGCCUUAACGGGUGGUCGCCCACACUGGGAUUGAGAUACGGCCCAGACUCCUACGGGAGGCAGCAGUCGAGAAUAGUCUACAAUGGUCGGAAGACUGAUAGUGCGACGCCGCGUGAACGUAUGAAUCCCUUCGGGGUGUAAAGUUCUUUUAUAUGUGAGCAGUGCUUCUUAUAUUAACAGUAUGGGGAAGAGAUAUUAGCAUAUGAAUAAGCAACGGCUAACUCCGUGCCAGCAGCCGCGGUAAUA
rnacentral:rRNA from 1 species